GGCUCAUUAAAUCAGUUAUCGUUUAUUUGAUAGCACCUACUACAUGGAUAACUGUGGUAAUUCUAGAGCUAAUACAUGCUAAAAAUCCCGACUUCGGAAGGGAUGUAUUUAUUAGAUUAAAAACCAAUGCCCUUCGGGGCUCUCUGGUGAUUCAUAAUAACUGCUCGAAUCGCAUGGCCUUGCGCCGGCGAUGGCUCAUUCAAAUUUCUGCCCUAUCAACUUUCGACGGCUGGGUCUUGGCCAGCCAUGGUGACAACGGGUAACGGAGGGUUAGGGCUCGACCCCGGAGAAGGAGCCUGAGAGACGGCUACUACAUCCAAGGAAGGCAGCAGGCGCGCAAAUUACCCAAUCCCAAUUCGGGGAGGUAGUGACAAUAAAUACUGAUACAGGGCUCUUUUGGGUCUUGUAAUCGGAAUGAGAACAAUUUAAAUCCCUUAACGAGGAACAAUUGGAGGGCAAGUCUGGUGCCAGCAGCCGCGGUAAUUCCAGCUCCAAUAGCGUAUAUUAAAGUUGUUGCAGUUAAAAAGCUCGUAGUUGAACCUUGGGCCUGGCUGGCCGGUCCGCCUCACCGCGUGCACUGGUCCGGCCGGGCCUUUCCCUCUGGGGAGCCGCAUGCCCUUCACUGGGCGUGUCGGGGAACCAGGACUUUUACUGUGAAAAAAUUAGAGUGUUCAAAGCAGGCCUAUGCUCGAAUACAUUAGCAUGGAAUAAUAGAAUAGGACGUGUGGUUCUAUUUUGUUGGUUUCUAGGACCGCCGUAAUGAUUAAUAGGGACAGUCGGGGGCGUCAGUAUUCAAUUGUCAGAGGUGAAAUUCUUGGAUUUAUUGAAGACUAACUGCUGCGAAAGCGUUCGCCAAGGAUGUUUUCAUUAAUCAGGAACGAAAGUUAGGGGAUCGAAGACGAUCAGAUACCGUCGUAGUCUUAACCAUAAACUAUGCCGACUCGGGAUCGG
rnacentral:rRNA from 1 species